rnacentral:rRNA from 1 species
CCCUUAGAUGUUCUGGGCCGCACGCGCGCUACACUGAUGCAUUCAACGAGUCUAAAACCUGCUCUGAUAGGGGUGGGUAAUCUUUUGAAUGUGCGUCGUGCUGGGGAUAGAUGAUUGUAAUUAUUCGUCUUGAACGAGGAAUUCCUAGUAAGUGUGAGUCAUCAGCUCGCGCUGAUUACGUCCCUGCCCUUUGUACACACCGCCCGUCGCUCCUACCGAUUGAAUGGUCCGGUGAGGUUCUCGGAUUUUUUCUGUUGUUUGGUUCGCUAAACGAUUGAAGAGAGAAGUUACCCAAACCUUACCAUUUAGAGGAAGGAGAAGUCGUAACA